rnacentral:rRNA from 1 species
GGACAACGGCCGGAAACGGCCGCUAAUACCGCAUAUUCCCGGGGGGCCGCAUGGCCCUGCGGGGAAAGCCCGGGGCGACCCGGACGGUGCGCGAUGGGCCCGCAUCCGAUUAGCUGGUUGGCGGGGCAGCGGCCCACCAAGGCGACGAUCGGUAGCCGGCCUGAGAGGGCGGACGGCCACACUGGGACUGAGACACGGCCCAGACUCCUGCGGGAGGCAGCAGUGGGGAAUAUUGCACAAUGGGGGGAACCCUGAUGCAGCGACGCCGCGUGGGUGAAGGAGCACCUCGGUGCGUAAAGCCCUAUCGGCAGGGAAGAAAAGCGAACAGGUUCCCUGGACGGUACCUGACUAAGAAGCCCCGGCUAACUACGUGCCAGCAGCCGCGGUAAUACGUAGGGGGCAAGCGUUAUCCGGAUUCACUGGGUGUAAAGGGAGCGUAGACGGCGACGCAAGUCUGGAGUGAAAGCCCGGGGCCCAACCCCGGGACUGCUCUGGAAACUGCGCCGCUGGAGUACGGGAGGGGCAGGCGGAAUUCCUGGUGUAGCGGUGAAAUGCGUAGAUAUCAGGAGGAACACCGGCGGCGAAGGCGGCCUGCUGGACCGUGACUGACGUUGAGGCUCGAGAGCGUGGGGAGCAAACAGGAUCAGAUACCCUGGUAGUCCACGCCGUAAACGAUGACUGCUAGGUGUCGGGGGACGACAGUGCCCCGGUGCCGCCG